AUCUGACUACUCUAGGUACCUCAGAUGAGUGGAAUUAUGCACUAUUUGUCCUUUUGUGUGUACAACUAAUUUGACAGGCAGUAUGAUAAGGAACAAUCUGAAUGACAUGUAAACAGGAGGGGGUAAAUUCCAAGCACAGCCUGAAUGAGAAGUACAACUCAUUUCCCGUAACCCAGAUGCCUUUUUAACACAUCUAUGCAGUCUCCAUGUGAAACCAGGUGCUGUUCCCAACGGAGAAAACACUGCCCUCCAGUGGUCUUCAAUGAUGGAAAUAGUUUCAGGUGGAAACCAGGCUUCUUGGAAGACUUCAAACUAUGCCAAAUGGUCUGAUUUCACCAUAGAGAUUCUUUGCUGAAGAAUGCAGCUGUAUUAAAGGAAGAAAGAAAACCAAGCUACAGUUCCUUGUAAUUCAACAAGCAUUUAAAAGGUUUAUAAAGAUGGUGCAAUUAUGUAUUUAAGCUGCUUCAACACAAGUUCUUGCCUUUCACUCCCACCCUGUGGCUUACACUGGUAUUACAUCUAUUCUGACAUUUAAAAAUCAACAUUAAAGAACAUGUUGUAAUAAUGUA